GAGUGUCCACAAGAGGAAAAGUAGAGCAGCUAGCGUAUGUGAGAAAGUGAUAAAUCAUGGUACAAUUCUGAGUUGGGCCUUAAAUGCCACCCUAUGUCCUGUUUAGUGCACUCAAUUUGACCAAAGCCCAUAGGGAAUAGGGCAACAUUUGGGACACAAGCUGAGUUAGUGCUUUGUUGUGCCUUUUCUUCAGCUGGGCCUGUACAUUGAUGAAUAACUGUCCUCCGAGAACAGAGCAUAUAAAAACAAGAAAAUGGAAGCCAUAAAAUAAAACUGUUAUGGCAUUCUGGUUGAAACAAGAGCUUCUUUUCCCUGAUCCAGGCAGGGGCAGAGGGACAGUAGGAAAAAGGUGUGGAGUGGUGGAGCUUUAGGAUGAUGGAGGUGUGGAGUGGUGGAGCUUUAAGAUGAUGGAGGUGUGGAGUAGUGGAGCUUUAGGAGGAUGGAGGUGUGGAAUAGUGGAGCUUUAGAAUGAUGGAGGUGUGGAGUAGUGGAGCUUUAGGAUGAUGGAGGUGUGGAGUGGUGGAGCCUUAGGAGGAUGGAGGUGUGGAGUGGUGGAGCUUUAGGAUGAUGGAUGUGUGGAAUAGUGGAGCUUUAGGAUGAUGGAUGUGUGGAAUAGUGGAGCUUUAGGAUGAUGUAUGUGUGGAAGAGUGGAGCUUUAGGAUGAUGUAGGUGUGGAGUAGUGGAGCUUUAGGAUGAUGGAUGUGUGGAAUAUUGGAGCUUUAGGAUGAUGGAUGUGUGGAAUUGUGGAGCUUUAGGAUGAUGGAGGUGUGGAGUGGUGGAGCUUUAGGAUGAUGGAGGUGUGGAGUGGUGGAGCUUUAGGAUGAUGGAGGUGUGGAGUGGUGGAGCUUUAGGAGGAUAGAGGUGUGGAGUGAUGGAGCUUUAGGAUGAUGGAGGUGUGGAGUGGUGGAGCUUUAGGAUGAUGGAGGUGUGGAGUGGUCGAGUGAAAGGGGGAUGGGAUGAUAGAGUAUAUGCUGAUGGAGGUGUUGAGUGAUAGAGUGAUAGUGAGAAAGCAAUGCAGGAGUGGAGUGAUAGAGAGGUGAGGUGUAGAGUAAUAGAGCGAUGGAGUGAUGGAGGGAUACAGUGAUAGAGAGAUGCAGUGUGGAGUGAUUCCAUAGAAACCUGUCUGGCAGCCUCUAACCAAGUAGUAUAAUUAUGUGCAAUCCAUUGCUUUAUUCAUGUAUUUUAUUAAAUCUUAUUUUACAUUUGUCUCCUAGGAUCUAUUCAGCUGUCCUGCUGUCCAAGAGACCAACCAAGGGGCAAAUUCACCAACCAAGGGCAAAUUCACCAACCAAGGGCAAAUUCACCAACCAAGGGCAAAUUCACCAAUCAAGGGCUUAUUCACCAAUCAAGGGCUUAUUCACCAAUCAAGGGCUUAUUCACCAAACAAGGGCUAAAUCGCCAAGCAUGAGCUAAUUCCCUCAUGUGUGUUAGUGCACUGCUCACAAAUGAACAAUUACAAGUAUAUUAUUUAAAAUAACCGGAGCAGCAAUAGAGCAGUCGACAGCUGAGCAUGGCCCAGCACAGGCAAAAUGAUCAUUUACAAGAAGAACAUUUUAAAUAACAUAUCAGAUAGCGUUGUCCAAAUACAGUUGACAUGUUGUGAACAUGGAUCUACUGACACAUUGUUUUGAAGUGCGCCGCUCUUCUCUGACUGUGUGUUUGUAGCUUUGACCGUUAGCAGCCUCCUUGGAACGUUAGCUAAAGUGUGACCAAUCUUGGUCUUCUACUCCCAGAAGUGCAAGAGUGAUCUUUCCAGGGAUUCUGCUCUUGAUCCCAGGCAUUGGCCGUCUUCUCCUCCUCACCUGCUCCAUGUGCUCCUUCAUCAAAACUCACUGGCAAAAACACUGGGGCACCCAGUGAUCCUCCCCAGCCAAUGGGCUCCUGGCUGGACCUAUAGAAAUGCAAAUUAUGACAAGUGCCAGUAAUGGGCAAACUGUUCAUUAGGCAAGUUUAAUGUGGAAAUAACAGUGACUGUCAAUUGUAAAGUAUAGCUAAACUGCUUUUUU
ensembl:lncRNA